AUACGGAGGGUCCGAGCGUUAAUCGGAAUUACUGGGCGUAAAGCGUACGUAGGUGGCUUGAUUAGUAGGAUGUGAAAGCCCUGGGCUCAACCUGGGAACUGCAUUCGAUACUGUCAGGCUAGAGUAUAGUAGAGGGAAGUGGAAUUCCGGGUGUAGCGGUGAAAUGCGUAGAUAUCCGGAGGAACACCAGUGGCGAAGGCGGCUUCCUGGACUAAUACUGACACUGAGGUACGAAAGCGUGGGGAGCAAACAGGAUUAGAAACCCCAGUAGUCC
rnacentral:rRNA from 1 species